rnacentral:rRNA from 1 species
CCUACGGGAGGCAGCAGUGGGGAAUAUUGCACAAUGGGCGCAAGCCUGAUGCAGCCAUGCCGCGUGUGUGAAGAAGGCCUUCGGGUUGUAAAGCACUUUCAGCGGGGAGGAAGGCGGUGAGGUUAAUAACCUCAUCGAUUGACGUUACCCGCAGAAGAAGCACCGGCUAACUCCGUGCCAGCAGCCGCGGUAAUACGGAGGGUGCAAGCGUUAAUCGGAAUUACUGGGCGUAAAGCGCACGCAGGCGGUCUGUCAAGUCGGAUGUGAAAUCCCCGGGCUCAACCUGGGAACUGCAUUCGAAACUGGCAGGCUAGAGUCUUGUAGAGGAGGGUAGAAUUCCAGGUGUAGCGGUGAAAUGCGUAGAGAUCUGGAGGAAUACCGGUGGCGAAGGCGGCCCCCUGGACAAAGACUGACGCUCAGGUGCGAAAGCGUGGGGAGCAAACAGGAUUAGAUACCCCGGUAGUC